CUGGGAGCCUUCUACACGGCGCCGUAAGCCCGCACUUCUCUCAGCACCGCAGGUUCGAAUCUCGCGUUCGCCCACUGUGCCUCGCUGAGCUUAGAUGACAAGCCUGGCAUGGUCAGCAGGCAGUGACUGCUCUGGGAGUCAUGGCAAGUAAGAAGUACAAGAGAAAAAGCCUUUUCCUGCUGCAGGUAGCUGCUCUUAGCUCCCGGAAUACAGAAUAACUGUGGAUGGAAGAAGAGUUUGUGGCAGCACAGGAAUAAGUGAAGUCAAGGUCAAAGUUGGCAGCUGAUAGAAGCAGAUGUUCGAGCAAGAAAUGGAUGAGACCAGCAACCAAAUGUAUUUCCUCUUCAUUGUCUGUUUUCAGGCUUGCGUGAGUUUGUGAUUAGGUGACACAAAGCUAGUGCAUAGGAAGCUGUACAGAUCCCCAAACACCCUUAGGAUUCAAGCAUUAAUCUUUCUGUGUUGUUUUCUGUUGGUGAGAGGAAUGAGCUGCACCCACAUGCGUGUGCUGGAGUAGCAGCAAAGCUCCAUUGGAGGUGAAUGGAAAAGAUUGGUAAUGGGCACAGAGCAGAAAACCCCAUAUAUAUUCUGCUCAGCUGCAUCACGCUGUCAUAGCUCCUCUUGGGUGUGGGAUAGGAGGUGUUUUUGACAUUGAGCAGUGCUGUGGGAAUUGAUCUGCCUCUGAUUUGCUGAGUAGGGAAGUGCAACAGAAAGAAAAACACGAGCUUUCUUUUAAAGCAUGUGCAGUUCUUACAUAGCAUUACGCACUGAAUAUCUCCCCAAAAGUAAUUAAAAAACCAACAUUUUAAUAACUCAAGCAUCCCAGUGAAUAAAAGCCAGUUGUUCUGGUUGCCCUCAUUCUCUCUGUUCCAGCAAUACAGGCAUUGCUCUUACAGCUUUAAGAGUUAUCUGGAGAUGCAGCCAGGCACCAAAACAGAACAAAAUAUGACGCAGAGAUGUCUGUCAUGUUGUGUUUUCACAGAAAUCAGUCUAUGUGAUGACUUCUCCACCCUGUAAUUCAGCCUCUUUUUGUCCCAGGAUAAUUUAAACAUUCGUCUUGGUCAGCUCUGUGCGGAGACAGAGUACAGCACAAGUUUAUAAGGUUGUGAGCAUGAGUUUAUCUAAAUACGAGGCGGUGUUAUUUCUAAACUUUAUAAGACCUAAGUCUUCUAAAGUGGGGCCACUAAAUCUAUCCAUCUCCUCCUUAGUUCUGAUUCAUACAGGUAACUCCCAGUUACCUAGUUCUAAAUACUCCCCCACUAGCUAUGCUCUUUGGUGUGUUAGAAUCUAUUCUCAUCUUUGUGGGCCAUGUAAUUAGAACACUUUCUCUAUCAUUUUCAUCGGCUUCACUGUGAGAAUGAUGUGAUUUGAAGGUCAGCUUUUCUGCAGACCCACUUGUGCUGGAGGAAAUUCUGCGUGCCACUGCAAAGUGAGGCUGGGAUUCCUCAGUGUUCACCAGCACAGGGAAGAACUUAUUUUCCAACAUCUGGGUGAGAUAUUAAACAACAAAUGUCUGCACUUCCUACCAAAGAAACUUAGGAACUCUGCAUUCUCACUUCAUAACAGCCACUAUGAAGAGGAUUAUAGAUUGAAUGCAGAUGAGUGCUCUCAUGGUGAUGCAGAUUGACAUUGCUGCUGCCCGUGCUGCAGCUCAGGCUUUGUCCAGCAGCACCAGUGGGAUGCAACAAGGAAAGCACUGACCAGGAGCAGCAGAACUGGAUGGUAGCAGAAAUGUCAGCAGGAUGCUUGGGUGCAGGAGGGAGUGCAGGUGAGCAGGACACAGCAGGGCUGUGCUGGUGGCAGUGCUGGGGAACAGGGAGGGACACAUGGAGGUGGUGGAGGUAGGGAUGAGAAACCUCUGCUCCGUUUUUCCCACUGCUCUGCCUUGUUAGCCCUAUUCACAGGGUGCCCUUCCAUGCAGCACCUGGGAUUUUAACCUUUAUUCUUGGGAAAUUGUUCACUUCUUGGAGCUGCCGUGGAGCAGUUAUUCACCCUUUCUCCUCCCCUUGUGACAUGGAAAGAAAUUCCCACGCAGCAGCGCAUUGCCCUGCAGCCGGAGCCGGGCUCUGCCCCACACCACAACCUGCCCCAUCUUGUCCUUACCUCCCAGCCUGGCUGCACUGCUCAUCCACCUGCACGCUGCUGUGCUGCCUUUGAUUCCUCCCCGAUGAGAUCAUCCACCUCUCAGCACAAAACACAGAACUGAGCGGUGUAGUCCUGGCAUGGGCUGUUUCACUGUUUCACUGGACUCUUUCAUUCUCUUGCUUAUUCCCUACCGGGCCUUCACAUCUUCUUCUUCUUGUCCUGGUAAAUGGAAAACAGCCCAAUGGUGGCAGUGGUGCAGUUUGGGAGCAUUUGGGGAUGGCUGCUGCACACAUUAAUGGUGAGAGCUGCUGCUCUGAUCUCAGCAGUCCUACAGCACCUGGCUAUCGAUCAAAGCACUGUGCAGGUGCAGAGGCAGAAGGGACCAGCAAGAUGCUGGGGGUCAUUGUCACCCGGAUUCAGGGUGGCGUGGGGUUCAUCAGGUGCUACAUGAGACUGAGGAUGGGCAUGGGGAGGUGCUCACCCCACUCUCUGCAGGGAAACAGGUGAUUAAAGAGUAGUGCCUUCUGCUUGUCUCUCUUUUGCUCUUAAAAUCCCCAGAUCUCAAGAAUAAGUCAUCGUUAGAAUCACAGAAUCAUUAGGGUUGGAAAAGACUUCUAAGAACACCCAGUCCAGCUGCCCGCCUUCCCCCAGGACUGCCCAGCACUGCCUCGUGAUGGGCUCAGAGAUGGGGACUGCUGUGCCCAGUGCUGCUGCACUACUUCCUAUGAAAAAAAAACCCUCGCGAUUUCAAGCAGCCAAUUUGGGGCCUGACUCAGGGCUGGAGGAGGAAAUUCCUUCAGGCUGUUGUUUGUGUUUUCCUAGAACAGGAAAAAAAAAUACACAGCAAGAAGCCUCAGCUGGCUCUGCUCCCCCACCGCACAUAUGGGGCCAGGAGGAGGGACAGAAGGGAUGGAAUCCUUGAGCCGUGGUGUGGACGUGCAUCCCUUCAGGGAUCCUUUGUGCUCCUGAGGCACCACUCGAGGGCAGCCAUGCUUCAAACACAGCAACAAUGCCAGGAACCUUGUGGUUGGGAUGGGCUCUGUGCAUCCAUCUCCUGUUGUGGGGAGCCUCAAGGUCCUGCCGUGGCCAAAACCCCACUCCUGGCUUCUGUGCUGUGGGUUUUCUUCCUGAGAUGGAGCCCAACCUAAGCUAUCCCUAGCUGCAGGUGGGAUGCUGAGAUGGAUUGGCUCCUCUGGGGUGAAAAGAGAAGGGUUUGUGGUCAGUGCAAGCCCUGCUAGUCAUGUUACUGUGCUACACUGGGGAGAAAACAGCAUAAAAGCCACUGCAGCACUUCAACCUCAGCUGGAGGUCAUGCAGGUCCCUUCAGAGGCAGCUAUGUGGGAUGGAGCCUGUGGUUCCAUGACCUUUAAGGCCCCUUCCAACCCAAACCAACCAUUCUGUGGUUCCAUGAUCUUUGAGAUCCCUUACAACUCAACCAUAUUAUAUGGUUCUGUGAUUUUUAAGGCCCCUUCCAACCCAAAUCAUCCAUGGUUCUAUGAUCAUGGUCCUUUCUGAUGCCAAAGAAAGUGGAAAUCAAGCCUUUCCAGCCUUCUUCCACUAUCACAGAGAAACAAAGAAACAAGCAGUGAGCAGGCAGGAGAGCACAGCCUGGCACGUGAGAUUUGCAUGUGAUUUCUGAACUCUGCUGACUUUUAACUUGGAAUUUCUUAUCUAAUAAAGGAAAGGAGAA